rnacentral:rRNA from 1 species
GACGUAGGGCGCGAGCGUGUCCGGAUUUAUUGGGCGUAAAGAGCUCGUAGGCGGCUUGUCGCGUCGACUGUGAAAACCCGCGGCUCAACUGUGGGCCUGCAGCCGAUACGGGCAGGCUAGAGUUCGGUAGGGGAGACUGGAAUUCCUGGUGUAGCGGUGAAAUGCGCAGAUAUCAGGAGGAACACCGGUGGCGAAGGCGGGUCUCUGGGCCGAUACUGACGCUGAGACGCGAAAGCGUGGGGAGCAAACAGG